UACGUAGGUGGCAAGCGUUGUCCGGAUUUACUGGGUGUAAAGGGCGUGUAGGCGGGUUUGCAAGUCAGAUGUGAAAUCCCGGGGCUUAACUCCGGAACUGCAUCUGAAACUGUAAAUCUUGAGUACUGGAGAGGAAAGUGGAAUUCCUAGUGUAGCGGUGAAAUGCGUAGAGAUUAGGAGGAACACCAGUGGCGAAGGCGGCUUUCUGGACAGUAACUGACGCUGGGGCGCGAAAGCGUGGGGAGCAAAC
rnacentral:rRNA from 1 species